UCGAACGUGGUGCACGGUGCACGCCUGCAGAAAAUAAUUUGGGAUCUCGCCUGCUCAACUAAGGCCGGAAGUUCGGGUUCGACUCCCGGCGUUCGAA